UUUUUGUGGAGGGUUCGAUUCUGGCUCAGGAUGAACGCUGGCGGCGUGCUUAACACAUGCAAGUCGAACGGGAUCCAUCGGGCUUUGCUUGGUGGUGAGAGUGGCGAACGGGUGAGUAAUGCGUGACCGACCUGCCCCAUGCACCGGAAUAGCUCCUGGAAACGGGUGGUAAUGCCGGAUGCUCCAGUUGAUCGCAUGGUCUUCUGGGAAAGCCUUUGCGGC
rnacentral:rRNA from 1 species